CAUCGCAACCUCUGCCUCCCGGGUUUAAACAAUUCUUCUGUCUCAGCCUCCCGAGUAGCUGGGACUACAGGCAUGUACCACCAUACCUGGCUAAUUUUUUUGUGUGUUUUUAGUAGAGAUGGGGUUUGUCCAUGUUGGCUGGGCUGGUCUUGAACUCCCGACCUCAGGCAAUUCACCCGCCUUGGUCUCCCAAAGUGCUGGGAUUACAGGCGUGAGCCACUAUGCCCAGCCACAUUUAACCUUUUAUUGAAUGUGCAGUCAACGUCCAAGUCCAUUUUUAUCUCUGUAGUGUUCCUGAGCUGUGAUCUCCAGGAACAGUGAUGCAUUGAUGUCAUAGCCCUGGACAGCAAACACGGUCUCCUCUCUGUUUCUGUCCCUGAGAAUGGAGUCUGCACGUCUUUGAAUAAUUAACACUCUUUUAAGUGGACAGAGUCAGGGACAGGGCUUAGGUGAACUUUCUGCAUAGUUUGUUCUGCUGUCAAAUGUCAGUUAAACCUUCAGUGUCUUCUUUCCCGGAAGAGACAGGCAGAGGUAGUGCGGCUGAAGGCAAAGCAGCCCUGUCUGGGAUUGGGGAGCUGGGCUCUCUCCCUCUCUCUCUUGCCAGCUUUCUGCAUGGUCUCAGGCAAGGCUCCCUCUCACCCCAGGCCUCAGUUUCCCCACCUGUGAGAAGCGGUGGAUUAAACUCUCUUUUGAGAAGACUUUUGUGCUCUGAAAUGCCACUGACGUCUGUGCCGUGUCUCCUCUGACCUCUGCUCUCUAUGCUUGUUGGUGAGAGCACUGGAGGGGCAGGAGCCCCAGGUGAAGAAAAGGAAGGACUUCUUUUAAGGAGACAUAACUAAGAAGAAAACCUCUCGCCAGGGGAGAAAGAAGGCCAAAGAGCUCUGUCCUUUUCACAGGCUUGACAUUUUUAUGGGCCUUUGCUGGCCUUGGACCAUGAGAUGCCCACACAAACACAGGGGAACCCCCCAGCAGCCACUGAAUGCGGCAUUGUGGCACUGGACCCCACCAGCCAGCAACCUUUGCUUGCAGCCUCCCUUAGGACAGAGUGGGGAGCAACCAGUCCAUCCUGUCAGCUCACAUCAAGCUUGGCCUGACAGGAUCCAGCACAGAGACCUCCCACGGAGAUGGGAAGGAGAGGAAAUUAGAUUGGAAAUUCUCUGACAGCCCACGCUUGACCCCAUGGAAAGUGUUGGUUUGGGCUAGAAGAAAUGGCACA
rnacentral:lncRNA from 1 species